CCUACGGGUGGCAGCAGUGAGGAAUAUUGGUCAAUAGACGAGAGUCUGAACCAGCCAAGUAGCGUGAAGGAUGACUGCCCUAUGGGUUGUAAACUUCUUUUAUAUGGGAAUAAAACGUUCCACGUGUGGGAUUUUGUAUGUACCAUAUGAAUAAGGAUCGGCUAACUCCGUGCCAGCAGCCGCGGUAAUACGGAGGAUCCGAGCGUUAUCCGGAUUUAUUGGGUUUAAAGGGAGCGUAGGUGGAUUGUUAAGUCAGUUGUGAAAGUUUGUGGCUCAACCGUAAAAUUGCAGUUGAAACUGGCAGUCUUGAGUACAGUAGAGGUGGGCGGAAUUCGUGGUGUAGCGGUGAAAUGCUUAGAUAUCACGAAGAACUCCGAUUGCGAAGGCAGUUCACUGGACUGCAACUGACACUGAGGCUCGAAAGUGUGGGUAUCAAACAGGAUUAGAUACCCUUGUAGUC
rnacentral:rRNA from 1 species